rnacentral:rRNA from 1 species
UGAGUUUGAUCCUGGCUCAGGAUGAACGCUGGCGGCGUGCUUAACACAUGCAAGUCGAACGAUGAUCCCAGCUUGCUGGGGGAUUAGUGGCGAACGGGUGAGUAACACGUKAGUAACCUGCCCUUGACUCUGGGAUAAGCCUGGGAAACUGGGUCUAAUACCGGAUAUGACUCCUCAUCGCAUGGUGGGGGGUGGAAAGCUUUUGUGKUUUUGGAYGGACUCGCGGCCUAUCAGCUUGUUGKUGGGGUAAUGGSCUACCAAGGCGWCKACG